rnacentral:SRP_RNA from 1 species
GCAGCCGGGGCAUUAGCGGGGCCCUGUAACCUGCAGUCCGCUACAGCAGGGGUGAUGCCGAGAGCCGAGGGUCUGAUUUGGUGGAGCUGCCCUCUUUAAGUGGUGAUGACGUCUGGGUCUUACGCAACGGAAACCCGUGAACCGUGUCAGGGUGGGAACACAGCAGCACUAAGCGGGAGCUUUCGUGUGACGUAAGGGUGCCUGGGCCGAGCUAACUGGAGAGGUUCCGUCUGUUGGAGAAGAUUCGAAGUGAGGCGCACGG